rnacentral:misc_RNA from 1 species
UCCGGCUUAUCACCGGCAGUCCCACUAGAGUGCCCAACUGAAUGAUGGCAACUAGUGGCGAGGGUUGCGCUCGUUGCGGGACUUAACCCAACAUCUCACGACACGAGCUGACGACAGCCAUGCAGCACCUGUCACUCAUCCAGCCGAACUGAAGGAAAUCAUCUCUGAAAUCCGCGAUGAGGAUGUCAAACGCUGGUAAGGUUCUGCGCGUUGCUUCGAAUUAAUCCACAUAAUCCACCGCUUGUGCGGGUCCCCGUCAAUUCCUUUGAGUUUUAACCUUGCGGCCGUACUCCCCAGGCGGAGAGCUUAAUGCGUUAGCUGCGCCGCUGAGGAGUAAACUCCCCAACGGCUAGCUCUCAUAGUUUACGGCGUGGACUAC